rnacentral:rRNA from 1 species
GAGUUUGAUCAUGGCUCAGAACGUACGCUGGCGGCACGCCUAACACAUGCAAGUCGAACGAAGUAGCAAUACUUAGUGGCAGACGGGUGAGUAACAUGUAGGUAUCUGCCCUUUGGCCUGGAAUAACACGAGGAAACUUGUGCUAAUACCGGAUAAGUCUUUACAGAGAAAGCUUUAUGCACCAUUGGAUGAGCCUGCACUUGAUUAGUUUGUUGGUGGGGUAAUGGCCUACCAAGACUGUGAUCAAUAGCUGAUUUGAGAGGAUGAUCAGCCACAUUGGGACUGAGACACGGCCCAAACUCCUACGGGAGGCAGCAGUGGGGAAUCUUGCACAAUGGAGGAAACUCUGAUGCAGCGAUGCCGCGUGAGUGAAGAAGGCCCUUGGGUUGUAAAGCUCUUUCGUCGGGGAAGAAAAUGACUGUACCCGAAUAAGAAGGUCCGGCUAACUUCGUGCCAGCAGCCGCGGUAAUACGAAGGGACCUAGCGUAGUUCGGAAUUACUGGGCUUAAAGAGUUCGUAGGUGGUUGAAAAAGUUAGUGGUGAAAUCCCAGAGCUUAACUCUGGAACUGCCAUUAAAACUUUUCAGCUAGAGUAUGAUAGAGGAAAGCAGAAUUUCUAGUGUAGAGGUGAAAUUCGUAGAUAUUAGAAAGAAUACCGAUUGCGAAGGCAGCUUUCUGGAUCAUUACUGACACUGAGGAACGAAAGCAUGGGUAGCGAAGAGGAUUAGAUACCCUCGUAGUCCAUGCCGUAAACGAUGUGUGUUAGACGUUGGAAAUUUAUUUUCAGUGUCGCAGCGAAAGCGAUAAACACACCGCCUGGGGAGUACGACCGCAAGGUUAAAACUCAAAUGAAUUGACGGGGACCCGCACAAGUAGUGGAGCAUGUGGUUUAAUUCGAAGAUACGCGCAGAACCUUACCAACACUUGACAUGUUCGUCGCGACUUUAAGAGAUUAGAGUUUUCGGUUCGGCCGGACGAAACACAGGUGCUGCAUGGCUGUCGUCAGCUCGUGUCGUGAGAUGUUGGGUUAAGUCCCGCAACGAGCGCAACCCUCACUUUUAGUUGCCAUCAUUAAGUUGGGCACUCUGAAAGAACUGCCAGUGAUAAGCUGGAGGAAGGUGGGGAUGACGUCAAGUCCUCAUGGCCCUUACGUGUUGGGCUACACACGUGCUACAAUGGUAUUUACAACAGGAAGCAAGACUGCGAAGUUAAGCAAAUCCUUAAAAGAUACCUCAGUUCGGAUUGCACUCUGCAACUCGAGUGCAUGAAGCUGGAAUUACUAGUAAUCGUGGAUCAGCGUGCCACGGUGAAUGCGUUCCCGGGUCUUGUACACACCGCCCGUCACACCAUGGGAGUUGGUUCUACCUUAAGGCAAGGUUUAAAACCCUUGACCACGGUAUAGUCAGCGACUGGGGUGAAGUCGUAACAAGGUAACC